rnacentral:rRNA from 1 species
UACGUAGGUGGCAAGCGUUGUCCGGAUUUACUGGGUGUAAAGGGCGCGUAGGCGGGAUAGCAAGUCAGGGGUGAAAUGUAGGGGCUUAACCCCUGAACUGCUUUUGAAACUGUUAUUCUUGAGUAUCGGAGAGGCAGGCGGAAUUCCUAGUGUAGCGGUGAAAUGCGUAGAUGUUAGGAGGAACACCAGCGGCGAAGGCGGCCUGCUGGACGACAACUGACGCUGAGGCGCGAAAGCGUGGGGAGCAAAC